rnacentral:tRNA from 2 species
CGUAGCUCAGUUGGCAGAGCGGCGCACUCGUAAUGCGCAGGUCACCAGUUCGAUCCUGGUCG